rnacentral:lncRNA from 13 species
AAGAACUCAGAGGGUCCGAGCGUCUUGGAGAAUAAAACCCCGGAAGGAGGAGAGAUUUUCUGAAAAUCAGGAUUGGUUACUACCCAAGCCUGCUGAAUAUAAGUCUGCUGAAUCUAAACAGUGAAGAUUUAAUUCUCACGACUUAACGGACAGAUUGAUCAGAGCGUGGCUCACUUUAACGACGAGCUUCCGACAACAUCUGAGCAAAAGCACAAAGAUCUUACUUAACGGUCAGAUUAACGGAGAAUUCUACAUCGGAGUGUGGCUCACUUUCACGACGAA